rnacentral:misc_RNA from 1 species
GUUCGUUCUUGUUACAUUGGCUUGGGUUAUAGCAGCAUUUAUGAAAUCAUUAACCCGCUGCUCAACAUUGUAGUCAAAUAGAAGAGGAUUAUUCUGAACGGGCACAAAAUCAUUAGACACUUCAAAAUUGAAACCAGGUGGAGGACUAUAAUGUACAGGGAAAGCAUUGGCAAAAAUCUGAGAGGAUGAACCAAAAGUUUUGGACCCACGCCAUAUGAGCUCUAGAGAUUUAUCUACUUUGCGCUUUGCUCUGUCCUGGUAAUCAAUCCUUGCAAAAUGAACAGAAUUGAAUCCAAGCUCAGCCCCAAGCAGGUAAGCUUGCACAGCAGAGUGUCCAAAUGGAUCAAUUUGCCAUCCAGCACGAGGAGUCUUGUUGAACUGUUGCUUUAUUGCAUGAUGACCAAGUGUUGUUUGGUCAAUCAUGUCUAUGUAAUGGCA